GUUCGGAUAGGAGGCUGCAACUUGCCUCCUUGAAGCCGGAAUCGCUAGUAAUCGCUGAUCAGAACGCAGCGGUGAAUACGUUCUCGAAUCUUGCACUCAC
rnacentral:rRNA from 1 species